GGCCAGAGUGCUUGGUUAUGCUUGAAUACAAGCGUUUUUACAGGUGACGCGAUUUGAGGACACGGACUGAAAAUCCUCGUGUCGGUGGUUCAAUUCCACCCCUGGCCACCA
rnacentral:tRNA from 1 species